UCUCACUCACAGGACAGAGGUGGACAUGUUCUGUCUCACUCACAGGACAGAGGUGGACAUGUUCUGUCUCACUCACAGGACAGAGGUGGACACAGAGUUUGCAGGUUUGAUUCUCCUGAUGAAACAAAUUUUCAGAUGAGUUUUUAUUUCAGAAUUAUGAAGGAAUCAUCAUCCUGGUGUAGUGAAG